rnacentral:tRNA from 1 species
CAGGGAGACAACAAAAUGUUUAAUAUUAUUAUUUUGUCACCUUAGGUCGAUCGGUAUCUCACGUUCUUAAUUUGUUAAGAAUUUCAUUUCCUAAGUUUUUCUAGGUCACACCCAUUAUUUUUCCUGGGCCAUUAGCUCAGGUGGUUAGAGCGCACCCCUGAUAAGGGUGAGGUCCCUGGUUCAAGUCCAGGAUGGCCCAUAUCUCUAUGUUGGGGGUAUAGCUCAGUUGGUAGAGCGCCUGCUUUGCAAGCAGGAUGUCAGCGGUUCGAGUCCGCUUACCUCCACUGAUUACCACCUCUUCCAUAACCGGUAGAAAGGAAAUGUUUUGAGUUGUGAUCAUUAUUCUGAACGAAUCUAGCUUCCUAAUGAAAUCAUUAAGAUGCUGGAUUCAUUGAAUUAAUUUCAUUGUUUUCAGAGAACCUUGACAACUGCAUAGAUUUUUUUAAAGACAAUAAGCAUCUUUAAUGAUGCAGAUUUAUUAUUUGUGCGAAUGCAUUAAUAACAAUUCUAUUAAGCUGAUGCUUCAAUUUUGAAGUUAUU